AUCAAUGGAGUUUUGACUCCAAGGUUUGUUUGGAAAAAUUUGAGUGAUGGAAUUAGUUUAUUAUUUUUUUGAAAAUUGGCAUUUGUCUAAAGAUCGCGUUUCCUAUGCAUACAUCUAAACGGUAAUCAUGCAACGUGUGUGCGUGUCGGUGCUUGUGUCGGUGUACAUCCCUUAUAGUGUCCAUAGUCCUUUACAUUGUCCUAGUU
rnacentral:lncRNA from 1 species